rnacentral:lncRNA from 1 species
GGCAGCUUCCUUCUCCAGGCUCUUUGCAGAACUCUACUACAUCGCGACAGGUUGUUUCUGGUGUAAUUGGAACUUCUGUCAAAAUCUGCUCGUUGUUACUCAGAAACACAGUUAAUAUCAUCGGCAUCAUCUCCGCCGCCGUCCCCCUGCCGAGGCUCCGCCGUGCCGCGCCGCGCCGGGCCUCUCACGCUGCCGCCUCUCAGCGCGGAGGACGCCGCUCACCCUAGCGGCGGUGACAGGUGCUCCCGCGCGGCUCGCUCCCUGCAGCGGGCGGAAGGAAGAGGCGAAGGCGGCGGCCGGACUCGCGGCCCCCUCCUCCUUCUCCUUCCUUCUCCUCAGCGCGGCGACGGCGGCGGCCUCCUGCCC